rnacentral:rRNA from 1 species
GACGGGGGGGGCAAGUGUUCUUCGGAAUGACUGGGCGUAAAGAGCUCGUAGGUGGUUUGUCGCGUUGUCCGUGAAAACUCACAACUCAAUUGUGGGCGUGCGGGCGAUACGGGCAGACUGGAGUACUGCAGGGGAGACUGGAAUUCCUGGUGUAGCGGUGGAAUGCGCAGAUAUCAGGAGGAACACCGGUGGCGAAGGCGGGUCUCUGGGCAGUAACUGACGCUGAGGAGCGAAAGCGUGGGGAGCGAACAGG